GCAAUUUCUCUGGAGAGCAAUGGGGCAGAAUGUCUUUAGAGUUGUUUAACAUAAAUGGUGAGUUACUGGAUUAGGAGAGGGAAAGCAAAACAGCCAUGCCUGGAGACACAAAGAGAAACUUUUUCCCCAGGGAAGGCCAGGAAAUGAAUUAAAGUGAUGGGGAGAGGAGAGCCUGGUAAGCUAUCUGGAUGGAAUGCAACAUUAGCUAGGCAGUGACAGGGAUGUUGGAACCCACCAAGUUCAUCUAGGAUCUGCUACUGUCAUUCCAAAGUCGCUGAAAUUCUCCAAACUUCCACUCUCGCAGUUGUACUCCGAGAUUUUGGAACCAAAAAACCCAUCUGGGUGCCGGAGCAGAAUGUUUGGCCAGUGGAGCCAGGUCCUACUGGCCCUGAUAAUAUGGAUUCAAGUGAAGAACAUCGAGGAAGCCCUGAGAUUUGCACUGGUGAGGAAUCCACCCAUACUGAUGCCACUCCUGCUUCUUGAGCAACUGCUGGUCCGAACGGAUGAGUC